rnacentral:rRNA from 1 species
UACGGAGGAUCCAAGCGUUAUCCGGAUUUAUUGGGUUUAAAGGGUGCGUAGGCGGACUGGAAAGUCAGCGGUAAAAUCGAGAGGCUCAACCUCUUUCCGCCGUUGAAACUGGCUGUCUUGAGAUGUCGAGAGGUAUGCGGAAUGCGCAGUGUAGCGGUGAAAUGCUUAGAUAUUGCGCAGAACUCCGAUUGCGAAGGCAGCAUACCGGCGGCGAUCUGACGCUGAGGCACGAAAGCGUGGGUAUCGAACAGG